AUUGAACGCUGGCGACAUGCCUUACACAUGCAAGUCGAACGGCAGCACGGGUGCUUGCACCUGGUGGCGAGUGGCGGACGGGUGAGUAAUACAUCGGAACAUGUCCUGUAGUGGGGGAUAGCCCGGCGAAAGCCGGAUUAAUACCGCAUACGAUCUACGGAUGAAAGCGGGGGACCUUCGGGCCUCGCGCUAUAGGGUUGGCCGAUGGCUGAUUAGCUAGUUGGUGGGGUAAAGGCCUACCAAGGCGACGAUCAGUAGCUGGUCUGAGAGGACGACCAGUCACACUGGGACUGAGACACGGCCCAGACUCCUACGGGAGGCAGCAGUGGGGAAUUUUGGACAAUGGGCGAAAGCCUGAUCCAGCAAUGCCGCGUGUGUGAAGAAGGCCUUCGGGUUGUAAAGCACUUUUGUCCGGAAAGAAAUCCUUGGCCCUAAUACGGUCGGGGGAUGACGGUACCGGAAGAAUAAGCACCGGCUAACUACGUG
rnacentral:rRNA from 1 species